rnacentral:rRNA from 1 species
ACUCCUACGGGAGGCAGCAGUAGGGAAUCUUCCACAAUGGGCGCAAGCCUGAUGGAGCAACACCGCGUGAGUGAAGAAGGGUUUCGGUCUCGUAAAGCUCUGUUGUUAAAGAAGAACACGUAUGAGAGUAACUGUUCAUACGUUGACGGUAUUUAACCAGAAAGUCACGGCUAACUACGUGCCAGCAGCCGCGGUAAUACGUAGGUGGCAAGCGUUAUCCGGAUUUAUUGGGCGUAAAGAGAGUGCAGGCGGUUUUCUAAGUCUGAUGUGGAAGCCUUCGGCUUAACCGGAGAAGUGCAUCGGAAACUGGAUAACUUGAGUGCAGAAGAGGGUAGUGGAACUCCAUGUGUAGCGGUGGAAUGCGUAGAUAUAUGGAAGAACACCAGUGGCGAAGGCGGCUACCUGGUCUGCAACUGACGCUGAGACUCGAAAGCAUGGGUAGCGAACAGGAUUAGAUACCCUGGUAGGAUAGCG